GCUGUGUGUGUCUGAGGGUGCUGUGUGUGUCUGAGGGUGCUGUGUGUGUCUGGGUGCUGUGUGUGUUUGGGUGCUGUGUGUGUCUGGGUGCUGUGUGUGUUUGGGUGCUGUGUGUGUCUGGGGGUGCUGUGUGUGUUUGGGUUCUGUGUGUGUCUGGGUGCUGUGUGUGUCUGGGUGCUGUGUGUGUUUGGGUGCUGUGUGUGUCU